UCGCCCAUUUUCAUAACAUAAAUAUCUCUCUCUCUCUCACUUUCAUGUCAAUUUUGUAUUUCUAUUUAUGUUUAUAUAACACCCAAUAAUGGCCAUGUUAUACGCAGGAAAUUAUGCUAAUUUGUGGGCUCAACGUAUUCGUAUAUACAUAUGUAUAGACGUACCUACAAUGAAAAUUGGUAAUAUUAAUGGUAAUAAUAUUCGCCAGUGAAAUCAUUAAUCAAUUGUGAAAUUGGGUGGGGUAGACCCACGGAGUAAAACUCAAAAAUCAAACACCGAUUCCAGUGCAAUGACCAAUCGACUAUACUUAUGGAUAGUAUCGUUUCACAACAGUCCGCGGGUCUCGAAGCUAUGAAUACCUAAGCAGGCCCAGGGUGGCUCCAAAGUAUUCAGUACCGAGUACUUUAUACUCGGCAGUCAGCAGCAAGAAACGAGGUCCAACACCCAACCUCAAAUGGAGUUGGCGUCGUGGCUGAAUGCCCUCACGUACCAUUUGACGUCGGCAGAUAGUGGACUCAAGUCGGACGCGACUUAAACAUGGCUGGAAUUGGAUGGUGAUGAUGGCGCGUCGAAUAACCGUUAUGAUUACGCCGUUGGUCUAUGAGAUGCUACAAAUACGAAUUUACUAAUUAUGAUCUUCUGACUUCUCUACAUCAAAUUGCACUGCGCACUGCAACGCUGCCAUCUAAAUCUUAGAUGAUUGUGUGUAAAUCCGUCGACAAGUUGCAACUGUCUGCGAGCAGCAGGCGACGGGCAACUGGCAACUGGCAACUCGCUGUGCUACUUAAUGUGCAUAUGUCUGCUUGCGGAGGAGAGGAGUCUGGUCUCAGUCGCAGUCGCAGUCGCAGUUGUAGUCGCUGCGAAUCUAUCGUAUAUAAAUAUUUACAAGUGAUUGGUCUUGUCUCUAAGUUUCAGACAGGUUUCACUAUAUUCAAUCGACGACACGGGCUGUAUUUUGUUUUGUUUUUGGGCUCUGUGUGGCAACUACAACUACAACUACAAUUGUGACUGUGAGAGCAACGGUAUCGGUAUCGUUCCGGGUUCGAUUCCGUCCCGUUUGCACGAUUACGUGUCAAGAGUUGCAGCCAGCCAUGUUUAAGUCCGAAUAUACAGGUAGACAUAUCUAUAUAGUAUGCAACAUAUCUAUAAAUUUGAAGUUUACAUAUGUAUUUUCAUUUGGCAUUGUAAUACAUAAUACUGGUUUGGAUGCAAGACCCCAAGAGCACAGAAGACAGACGUGUCUGCUCUUGUGCAUUGCUUUGAUUUGAUCUUGCGAAAGCGAAAGUUUAUUUAUUUUUCUUGUAUAUACAUAUAUACGAGUAUGUGUGCUAAUAAAUUAUAUUGUUUAUCAUUUGGGGAGCCCAGCCCAAGCGCCAGACAGCCGCAGC